rnacentral:ncRNA from 1 species
UAUUGGGGUGCUACACUGUGGCUGAGAUUAUACCCAUGGAACUUGAUGCAGAUAAUGCUGUCGCAAGGAAAUA